rnacentral:tRNA from 1 species
GCUUGCGUAUUUUUAAUGGUUACUUAGAAUACUCCGUUGUGGUUGGAUUGGUCUCGGUUCGAUUCUGGGCGCGGGCA